GUGCUAAUGAAGGGACCCGGAGGCUCCCACGUACUUGGCCAGUCUGCUGCCAUGGAGAUGCACCCCCAGCUGUCCCCAGACUGACAGUUAAUGAGCCCAGUGCUCCACGACCUGCCUGGCAAUAUGGUGACCCCUCCAUCUGCAGCUGAAGAACAGACCCAGGGAUGCGCACACCGGAUGCAGACUGGCAUAUGCCCACCAUGCAUCGCCAGAAGCGAAAGACGGCAGAUGACCCACGUGCCCCUCAUCAGUGGAAUUGGCUAAAUACAUUAGGAGACACCUAUACUAGAAAUCUCCUUCAAGACAGAACCACAAGUUCCUUUCGGAUCCAAUAUGGAAUAUUCCCAAGAAGUAUAGAUGCGUUAAAACAAACAGAAAAAAAAAAAAACAUAGGCGAAUGUGUUAUUAAACUGUGUUUUGUGUAAGAAAACA